rnacentral:rRNA from 1 species
UACAGAGGUCCCAAGCGUUGUUCGGAUUCAUUGGGCGUAAAGGGUGCGUAGGCGGCGCGGUAAGUCGGGUGUGAAAUCUCGGGGCUUAACUCCGAACUGCAUUCGAUACUGCCGUGCUUGAGGACUGGAGAGGAGACUGGAAUUUACGGUGUAGCGGUGAAAUGCGUAGAUAUCGUAAGGAAGACCAGUGGCGAAGGCGGGUCUGCUGGACAGUUCCUGACGCUGAGGCACGAAGGCCAGGGGAGCAAACGGG